AAGCUUCGAAUUGCCCUUCGGACGGGUGAGUAACGCGUGAGAAUCUGCCCUCAGGAGGGGGAUAACGGUUGGAAACGACCGCUAAUACCCCAUAUGCCGAGAGGUGAAAUGAGUUUUCGCCUGAGGAUGAGCCCGCGUCUGAUUAGCUAGUUGGUGUGGUAAUGGCGCACCAAGGCUUCGAUCAGUAGCUGGUCUGAGAGGAUGAUCAGCCACACUGGGACUGAGACACGGCCCAGACUCCUACGGGAGGCAGCAGUGGGGAAUUUUCCGCAAUGGGCGAAAGCCUGACGGAGCAACGCCGCGUGAGGGAUGAAGGCCUCUGGGCUGUAAACCUCUUUUAUCAAGGAAGAAGAUCUGACGGUACUUGAUGAAUAAGCCACGGCUAAUUCCGUGCCAGCAGCCGCGGUAAUACGGGAGUGGCAAGCGUUAUCCGGAAUUAUUGGGCGUAAAGCGUCCGCAGGCGGCCUUGAAAGUCUGUCGUUAAAGCGUGGAGCUUAACUCCAUUUCGGCGAUGGAAACUACAAGGCUAGAGUGUGGUAGGGGCAGAGGGAAUUCCCGGUGUAGCGGUGAAAUGCGUAGAUAUCGGGAAGAACACCAGUGGCGAAGGCGCUCUGCUGGGCCAUAACUGACGCUCAUGGACGAAAGCCAGGGGAGCGAAAGGGAUUAGAUACCCCUGUAGUCAAGGGCAAUU
rnacentral:rRNA from 1 species